rnacentral:misc_RNA from 1 species
GAACGCACCUUGCGCCCUUUGGCCAUUCCGAAGGGCAUGCCUGUUUGAGUAUCAUGAACACCUCAACUCAUCGUGGUUUUCCAUGAUGAGCUUGGACUUUGGGGGUUUUGCUGGCCUACAGUCGGCUCCUCUAAAAUAAAUCAGCUUACCAGUGUUUGGUGGGUAUCAUGGGUGUGAUAACUAUCUACGCUUGUGGUUUUUCCACCAGGUAACCUUCAGCAGUGAAGGUUCACUGGAGCUCAUAGACGUCUCUCCUCAGUGAGGACAGCCCUUUGAAUGUUUGAUCUCAAAUCAGGUAGGACUACCCGCUGAACUUAAG